GAGGGUACAGCUCAGUGGUGGAGCUUGUGCCUAGCAUGCACGAGGUCCUAGGUUCAAUCCUCAGUACCUCCA
rnacentral:tRNA from 1 species